AUUGAACGCUGGCGGCAUGCCUUACACAUGCAAGUCGAACGGCAGCGGGGACUUCGGUCCGCCGGCGAGUGGCGAACGGGUGAGUAAUGUAUCGGAACGUACCAUUGAGUGGGGGAUAACGUAGCGAAAGUUACGCUAAUACCGCAUAUUCUCUCCGGAGGAAAGCAGGGGACCGCAAGGCCUUGCGCUCUUUGAGCGGCCGAUAUCAGAUUAGCUAGUUGGUGAGGUAAAGGCUCACCAAGGCGACGAUCUGUAGCGGGUCUGAGAGGAGGAUCCGCCACACUGGAACUGAGACAAGGUCCAGACUCCUACGGGAGGCAGCAGUGGGGAAUUUUGGACAAUGGGGGCAACCCUGAUCCAGCCAUGCCGCGUGAGUGAAGAAGGCCUUCGGGUUGUAAAGCUCUUUCGGCCGGGAAAAAAUCGCAUGGGCUAAUACCCUGUGUGGAUGAUGGUACCGGAAUAAGAAGCACCGGCUAACUACGUGCCAGCCGCCGCCGUAA
rnacentral:rRNA from 1 species